UGGGCCCCCGUUGCGCCGCGCUAUAAAGAUAGGUGGGGGCCAGCGGCUCGGAUCACGAGAAUCACCGGCCGCCGCCACCCCACCAACAGUCACACCCUAGCCGAUCUAAGUCGUGCGCGGCAGCGACGGGAAGUUCCACCGCCGGCCAUCUUUCGCGCACUCUCCCUCGACUCCGAGCUCGUGCACGCGCCUGCACCUCGGUCACCGCGAGCACGAACGCCUUCGGCCCGACCACCGCGAGCUCCCGCACUACAUCAUCAUGGCGGGCACGUCUGCGUCAUCCGCCGCCCAAGGGCACGAAGGCAAAAGCUCUCAAUAACACAGACCUCAAGAAGGACAGGUUCUAGUUGAUAAGGACCAAUGCCUCUACUGCAAAGAAAAGGGACACUACAAGAAGAACUGUCACAAAUAUCUAAAGAUGAUCAUGGAAAAGAGAGGGAUUCCAUUCGACGAGAACCACUCAAAGAAGCGAAAAGCAAGUUAGAGUGCCAAAUGGAGCACAGGCAGACGUUGAAGCAGUGGGAGACGUUCAUUUGGAACUCGACACUGGCUUCAUUAUAGUCCUUAGAGAUGUUUUAUAUGUACCUUCUUUACACAGAAACUUAAUUAGUGUGUCUUGCCUGGACAAAGAUGGUUACUCCUGUCUAUUUGGAGAUGGCAAGUGUUUGAUUGAAUGUAAUGAUACAGUUAUUUCCAUUGCAUUCAGAAAAAAUGAUCUUUACUUGA